UCAAGAUACAAAGGGCAUACGGUGGAUGCCUAGGCGCUAAGAGCCGAAGAAGGGCGCGGUCAGCAGCGAAAUGCCACGGGGAGCCGUAAGCAGGCAGUAAUCCGUGGAUACCCGAAUGGGGCAACCCAUCCGGAGUCAUAUCCGGAUAUCACAAGCUGAAUUCAUAGGCUUGAUGAAGGCAAGCCGGGGAACUGAAACAUCUAAGUACCCGGAGGAAAAGAAAGAAUAAUCGAUUCCCAUAGUAGCGGCGAGCGAAGUGGGAAGAGCCCAAACCAAUCUUUUCGAAGGUUGGGGUUGUAGGACUUCUAUUAAGGGCAAUAAACUUAGCUGAAGAGGACUGGAAAGUUCCGGCAUAGGAGGUAAAACCCCUGUAAGCGAAAAGUUUAAAGUCUGAAGAAGGAUCCUGAGUACUGCGGGACACGAGGAAUCCCGUGGGAAACCGGGGGGACCACCCCCCAAGGCUAAAUACUCCUUAGCGACCGAUAGCGAACAAGUACCGUGAGGGAAAGGUGAAAAGCACCCCGGGAGGGGAGUGAAAAAGAACCUGAAACCGUAUGCUUACAAGCAGUCAAAGCAUAGAAAUAUGUGAUGGCGUGCCUUUUGUAGAAUGAACCAGCGAGUUGUGAUAUGCAGCGAGGUUAAGUGCUUAAGGUACGGAGCCGAAGCGAAAGCGAGUCUGAAAAGGGCGUCUAGUUGCAUGUUGCAGACCCGAAACCGUGUGAUCUACGCAUGGUCAGAGUGAAGGUGGGGUAAAGCCCACUGGAGGCUCGAACUCACUGUCGUUGAAAAGGCAGGGGAUGAACUGUGGGUAGGGGUGAAAUGCCAAUCGAACACGGAAAUAGCUGGUACUCCCCGAAAUAGCUUUAGGGCUAGCCUCAAUGGAUGAUAUACGGGGGUAGAGCACUGAAUGGGCUAGGGGCCUAUCGGUUACUGAACCCUAUCAAACUGCGAAUACCGUAUAUUUAGAAAUUGGGAGUCAGACUGUGGGGGAUAAGCUUCAUAGUCGAGAGGGAAACAGCCCAGACCGACGGCUAAGGUCCCAGAGACUACGCUAAGUGGAAAAGGAUGUGGAACCGCCCGGACAACCAGGAUGUUGGCUUAGAAGCAGCCACCAUUUAAAGAGUGCGUAAUAGCUCACUGGUCGAGUGGUUUUGCGCCGAAAAUGUAACGGGGCUCAAGCGUAGCACCGAAGCCGCGGCAUGGAACUGAUUCAUUAAGUCUUCAGAUAGGCUUAAAAAUAACAUUUAGGAAUUUUGCAACUGAUAAGGAAAACUUAAGAGGAAUGCAAAAGACUUAAAUAAAAGUAAAAUUCCCAAAUGCACUUGGGGAUCAAGCUUGACAGCAAAAAAGCUGAAGGUUUAAUGAAUCAGUUCCUUGGGUAGGGGAGCAUUGUCACAGCGUUGAAGGAUAGCUGUAAGGCUUACUGGAGUGGUGACAAGAGAGAAUGCUGGUAUGAGUAUGCGAAAAGGAAGGUGAGAAUCCUUCCCGCCGAAAAUCUAAGGUUUCCUGGGGAAGGCUCGUCCGCCCAGGGUAAGUCGGGACCUAAGCUGAGGCCGAAAGGCGUAGGCGAUGGACAAUUGGUUGAGAUUCCAAUACCACCGUAAAUCGUUUGAGCGAUGGGGUGACACAGGAGGAUGACCUGAGCGUGCUGUUGGUUAUGCACGUCUAAGCUAUAAGCGGGUGCUGCAGGCAAAUCCGCAGCGCUUAACCGCAAGUAGUGACGGGGAGCGAAAAUAAGUAGCGAAGCAGGAAAGUUCAAACUGUCAAGAAAAGCCUCUAGUGAGAUUUGUGGUGCCCGUACCGUAAACCGACACAGGUAGAUGAGGAGAGAAUCCUAAGGCGCGCGAGAUAACCCUUGUUAAGGAACUCGGCAAAAUGACCCCGUAACUUCGGGAGAAGGGGUACUCUAUAUAAAGUAGAGUCGCAGAGAAAUAGUCCAGGCGACUGUUUAACAAAAACACAGGUCCCUGCCAAUCCGUAAGGAGAAGUAUAGGGGCUGACGCCUGCCCGGUGCUGGAAGGUUAAGAGGAGAUGUUAGUUAACGCGAAGCAUUGAAUUGAAGCCCCAGUAAACGGCGGCCGUAACUAUAACGGUCCUAAGGUAGCGAAAUUCCUUGUCGGGUAAGUUCCGACCCGCACGAAAGGCGUAACGAUCUGGACACUGUCUCAACAAGGGACUCGGCGAAAUUGUAAUACCCGUGAAGAUGCGGGUUACCUGCGACAGGACAGAAAGACCCCAUGGAGCUUUACUGCAGCUUGACAUUGGAUUUUGGUAUAAAAUGUACAGGAUAGGUGGGAGGCUUGGAAGCGAGUACGCCAGUAUUCGUGGAGCCGCCGGUGGGAUACCACUCUUUUUGUACUGAAGUUCUAACCAGGGCCCGUGAUCCGGGUUUGGGACAUUGUCAGGCGGGCGGUUUGACUGGGGCGGUCGCCUCCUAAAGAGUAACGGAGGCGCCCAAAGGUUCCCUCAGCGCGGGCGGAAAUCGCGCGAAGAGUGUAAAGGUAUAAGGGAGCUUGACAGAGAGACUAACAAGUCGACCUGGUACGAAAGUAGGGCUUAGUGAUCCGGUGGUUCCGAGUGGAAGGGCCAUCGCUCAACGGAUAAAAGCUACCCUGGGGAUAACAGGCUUAUCUCCCCCAAGAGUCCACAUCGACGGGGAGGUUUGGCACCUCGAUGUCGGCUCAUCGCAUCCUGGGGCUGUAGUAGGUCCCAAGGGUUGGGCUGUUCGCCCAUUAAAGCGGUACGUGAGCUGGGUUCAGAACGUCGUGAGACAGUUCGGUCCCUAUCCGUCGCAGGCGCAGGAAAUUUGAGAGGAUCUGUCCCUAGUACGAGAGGACCGGGAUGGACGGAUCACUGGUGUACCAGUUGUCCCGCCAGGGGCAUAGCUGGGUAGCUAUAUCCGGAAUGGAUAAGCGCUGAAAGCAUCUAAGCGUGAAACCAGCCUCAAGAUGAGAUUUCCCACAGAAUAAUCUGGUAAGACCCCUGAAAGAUGAUCAGGUUGAUAGGCCGGGAGUGGAAGCAUGGUGACAUGUGGAGCGGACCGGUACUAAUAGGUCGAGGUCUUGACCUA
rnacentral:rRNA from 1 species